rnacentral:rRNA from 1 species
ACACCGGCAGCUCUAGUGGUAGCUGUUUUUAUUGGGCCUAAAGCGUUCGUAGCCGGUUUGAUAAGUCACUGGUGAAAUCCUGUAGCUUAACUGUGGGAAUUGCUGGUGAUACUGUUGAACUUGAGGUCGGGAGAGGUUAGCGGUACUCCCAGGGUAGAGGUGAAAUUCUGUAAUCCUGGGAGGACCACCUGUGGCGAAGGCGGCUAACUUGAACGGACCUGACGGUGAGGGACGAAAGCUAGGGGCGCGAACCGGAUUAGAUACCCGGGUAGUCCUAGCCGUAAACGAUGCGGACUUGGUGUUGGGAUGGCUUUGAGCCGCUCCGGUGCCGAAGGGAAGCUGUUAAGUCCGCCGCCUGGGAAGUACGGUCGCAAGACUGAAACUUAAAGGAAUUGGCGGGG